UACGUAGGGCGCAAGCGUUUAUCCGGAAUUAUUGGGCGUAAAGAGCUUGUAGGCGGUCUGUCGCGUCUGCUGUGAAAAUCCGGGGGCUCAACCCCGGACUUGCAGUGGGUACGGGCAGACUAGAGUGCUGGAGAGGGUCGUAGAAUUCCCGGUGUAGCGGUGAAAUGCGCAGAUAUCAGGAGGAACACCGGUGGCGAAGGCGGCAUCCUGGGCCGG
rnacentral:rRNA from 1 species